rnacentral:misc_RNA from 1 species
AUUCUUCUUUCAAAAUGAGGAGCAAUCUGUUGGCAAUCUUUGUUUUCACGGCACUAUUAUGUGGCACAUAUGCUACUCUCAAUGAAAAGAAAAUCCUCAAAGAGAAGGAUAUGAUGAGGAAAAUUGUCUUCGACAAAAAGACACCAGAUGUCUUUUACUGUCCCAUACAGAAACCCUCUUCGAUGAGUAAGAUCAUUGUCACGGCACGGCCUCUACACAAAUUGUGCGAAUACGAAGGCAAUCCGUUGCCAGCUGAAUAUAAAUCCGACUGUUAUUUGGAUAUUGAUGAAACUGAUUAUGCAUGCAAGGAGAAAUACAGAAUCAUGAAACGAUUCGCCAAAGACGAACCCUAAUACAAUAAUCACAAACAACACAACAAAUUUUAACAGCUUAUUGUACAUUAUCAUUGCACCAUACGCAGACAGCUUUGAGUAACUGGAUAACACGGCUAAAUAUCACAGUUUUAUCGCUAUGCGUAAAUUUCCACCGGGCAGCGAAGAGCCAUUCAACGGCGCCCGACUCAAGCGAUUCAUGACAUAUAAGGAAGUCAACUAAAACA